rnacentral:rRNA from 1 species
AGAAUGAACGCUGGCGGCGUGCUUAACACAUGCAAGUCGCACGAGAACUCUUCUGCUUGCAGAAGAUAGUAAAGUGGCGCACGGGUGAGUAACGCGUGGGUAAUCUACCUCUGAAUUGGGGAUAACAUUGUGAAAGCGAUGCUAAUACCGAAUAAUAUCCCGAGAACCUAGGUUUUUGGGAUCAAAGGUGGCCUCUACAUGUAAGCUACUGUUUAGAGAUGAGCCCGCGUACCAUUAGCUUGUUGGUAGGGUAAUGGCCUACCAAGGCAACGAUGGUUAGCUGGUCUGAGAGGAUGAUCAGCCACACUGGAACUGACACACGGUCCAGACUCCUACGGGAGGCAGCAGUGAGGAAUUUUGCGCAAUGGGGGAAACCCUGACGCAGCAACGCCGCGUGAGUGAUGAAGGCUUUCGAGUCGUAAAGCUCUGUCAAGUGAGAAGAACCUGUCCCGCGAUAAUACCGCGGGAUACUGACGGUAUCACUGAAGGAAGCACCGGCUAACUCCGUGCCAGCAGCCGCGGUAAUACGGGGGGUGCAAGCGUUAUUCGGAGUUAUUGGGCGUAAAGGGCGCGUAGGCGGUCUUUUAAGUCAGAUGUGAAAGCCCGGGGCUCAACCCCGGAAGAGCAUUUGAAACUAAUGGACUUGAGUAUGGGAGAGGGAAGUGGAAUUCCUGGUGUAGAGGUGAAAUUCGUAGAUAUCAGGAGGAACACCGGUGGCGAAGGCGACUUCCUGGACCAAUACUGACGCUGAGGCGCGAAGGCGUGGGGAGCAAACAGGAUUAGAUACCCUGGUAGUCCACGCAGUAAACGGUGAACACUAGGUGUAGCGGGUAUUGACCCCUGCUGUGCCGCAGUUAACGCAUUAAGUGUUCCGCCUGGGGAGUACGACCGCAAGGUUAAAACUCAAGG